GACCCCGAGUUGUGGAAAGAUGGCGAUAUUGUUACGAUAACCAAGCCUGGGCCGUACAAGAUUACUGCUUUGGUGUGUAACAAACUGCCAACAGUUGCAGAGACAGAAACACCCGAGGAGGCUGCUGAAACUAUGAUUGACGAAGGUGAUUCAGAAACAAAGGACACAAACGGGGUGUCAAUAGUAAAACCCAAAGAACACUACA